rnacentral:rRNA from 1 species
AUUGAACGCUGGCGGCAUGCCUAACACAUGCAAGUCGAGCGGACGAAGGGAGCUCGCUCCUGGAUUCAGCGGCGGACGGGCGAGUAAUGCCUAGGAAUCUGCCUUGUAGUGGGGGAUAACGUCCGUAAACGGGCGCUAAUACCGUAUACGUCCUGAGGGAGAACGGGGGGGAUCUUUGGACCUCACGCUAUUAGCUGAGCCUAGGUCGGAGUAGCUAGUUGGUGGGGUAAAGGCCUACCAAGGCGACGAUCCGUAACUGGUCUGAGAGGAUGAUCAGUCACACUGGAACUGAGACACGGUCCAGACUCCUACGGGAGGAAGCAGUGGGGAAUAUUGGACAAUGGGCGAAAGCCUGAUCCAGCCAUGCCGCGUGUGUGAAGAAGGUCUUCGGAUUGUAAAACACUGUAAGUUGGGAGGAAGGGCAGUAAGUUAAUACCUUGCUGUUUUGACGUUACCAACAGAAUAAGCCCCGGCUAACUUCGUG